GUUUUUAAAUAAUAAUUUACGAAAUUAUUCGACCUUCAAUUCACGAUAAGUAUAUGGAUUUAAAAAAAGUUUUAAUGGCAAUUGUGUUGAGUCAAUUUAAAUUACAUAUCCCAUUGAAUCAAGCCCGAGUAUGAAAAUUAAAAUUAUAUAGGAUUCAAUUUGAUCUUUGAACCUCAAGUUUUCUAAUCAAAUCAUAUUCAAAUAGUAUAUUGGACUAACUCAACUCAGUUUGAUUACAUCCAUAUGUAUUUCUCCAUAACCUAGUGAGAGAAGGGUUACCAUGAGAGAUGAAUGGUAUAAAAAGGGUUGGGUGUUUCUUUUAUUCAUUUGCCUAUAAUCAGUAGACUUAGUUGCUGUUGUUAAUUGAUUGAAGACUAGGGAAUAAUUGCAUUGCAUAAUAUAUUCUCAUCUUUAUUAAAAAAAAAUUACUAAUAUUUUCACAUUUUAAAUUCAAUAGUUCACUAAUAAUAAUGCAAAUAAAUACUAUAAUUGUGUCAAACAACAAACAAGAGCGAAAGCUCACACUAGAACAGAAUCUCACACCAUACCAGGGAACUAGAGGAUCAUUCAGAUUUUCAAUAAAAACAAAAAUAGCUAUUUUCCUGAAAGAAUUUAAAUUGAAAUGAUUAUAACCCAUAAAGCCAAUCAUCACGCCUCAAUAUUCUAGAACACUAUAAAGAUCAGAAUUAAUCAAAUACAAUCCCACCACCUCAACCCAACAAAUACCAAUUUACUCCAAUCGUAUCACCUCUGAAAGCAAUAAUAAAUCAAAGGGUUUAACAAAUUUGUAAAAGAAAUUAAAUCCAAUAGUAGAUCCCGAGCAGUAAGAGAGGGGUUUAAGAGUUAAUGCAUUUUAUAUAACAGAUGUAAUAAGAGCGUACUAGGGAUUCAGGGCGGGCGUUCUGACGGAGGCGGGCCUCAAGCUCAGGGUUGCGGGAGUUUGUGAGCUGCAUAACGCAAUAGCCGAUGACACCAGGAACGACGCCGCAGACGGUGGCGAAGGUGAAAAAGAAAGACUUAGAGUCCCUUGUCUUCCUCACAAUCCAUCUCCAUGUUUCGCUCUUCUCCCACAGAAUCGACAUUUUUCUCACCCUUGAAACCCUUGCAGCUGCAGCAGCAAGUGGAUUUUGGGUUCUUACUCCUUG
rnacentral:misc_RNA from 1 species